AGUGAACGUUGGCGGCGUGGAUUAGGCAUGCAAGUCGAGCGAGAACCGUAGCAAUACGGGGACAGCGGCGAAAGGGACAGUAACGUGUAGGUACCUACCCCCGGGUUCGGGAUAGCUGCGGGAAACUGCAGGUAAUACCGAAUAAUGUCUCCGGACCAAAGGUGUGAUUCCACCUGGGGAGGGGCCUGCAUCCUAUUAGCUUGUUGGUGGGGUAACGGCCUACCAAGGCGACGAUGGGUAGCGGGUGUGAGAGCAUGACCCGCGUCAUUGGGACUGAGACACUGCCCAGACACCUGCGGGUGGCUGCAGUCGAGAAUCUUCGGCAAUGGGCGCAAGCCUGACAGAGCGACGCCGCGUGCGGGAUGAAGGCCUUCGGGUUGUAAACCGCUGUCGUAGAGGAGGAAAUGCAGGAGGGUUCUCCCUCCUGUUUGACCUAUUCUAGGAGGAAGUACGGGCUAAGUUCGUGCCAGCCGCCGCCGUAA
rnacentral:rRNA from 1 species